CAGCAGCCGCGGUAAUACGAAGGUCCCGAGCGUUGUUCGGAAUCACUGGGCGUAAAGGGAGCGUAGGCGGCGUGGUAAGUCAGAUGUGAAAUCCCGGGGCUCAACCCCGGAACUGCAUCCGAUACUGCCGUGCUAGAGGAUUGGAGAGGUAGCUGGAAUUCUUGGUGUAACAGUGAAAUGCGUGGAGAUCAAGAGGAACACUCGUGGCGAAAGCGAGCUACUGGACAAUAUCUGACGCUGAGGCUCGAAGGCCAGGGUAGCGAAAGGGAUUAGAUACCCCCGUAGUCCCUGUCUCUUAUAC
rnacentral:rRNA from 1 species